rnacentral:rRNA from 1 species
GAUGAACGCUGGCGGCGUGCCUAAUACAUGCAAGUCGAGCGAACAGAUGAGAAGCUUGCUUCUCUGAUGUUAGCGGCGGACGGGUGAGUAACACGUGGGUAACCUACCUAUAAGACUGGGAUAACUCCGGGAAACCGGGGCUAAUACCGGAUAAUGUUUUGAACCGCAUGGUUCAAUAGUGAAAGACGGUUUCGGCUGGCACUUAUAGAUGGACCCGCGCCGUAUUAGCUAGUUGGUAAGGUAACGGCUUACCAAGGCGACGAUACGUAGCCGACCUGAGAGGGUGAUCGGCCACACUGGAACUGAGACACGGUCCAGACUCCUACGGGAGGCAGCAGUAGGGAAUCUUCCGCAAUGGGCGAAAGCCUGACGGAGCAACGCCGCGUGAGUGAUGAAGGUCUUCGGAUCGUAAAACUCUGUUGUUAGGGAAGAACAAAUUUGUUAGUAACUGAACAAGUCUUGACGGUACCUAACCAGAAAGCCACGGCUAACUACGUGCCAGCCGCCGCGGUAA